UGAGGAAUAUUGGGCAAUGCCCGCAAGGGUGACCCAGCAACGCCGCGUGGAGGAUGAAUGUCGUAAGAUUGUAAACUCCUGUUAGAGGGGAAGAAUAGUACCGGUUGGACCGGUAUAUGACUGUACCCUCAGAGAAAGCCCCGGCUAACUACGUGCCAGCAGCCGCGGUAAUACGUAGGGGGCAAGCGUUGUCCGGAUUUACUGGGUGUAAAGGGCGCGCAGGCGGGAUAAAAAGUCAGUGGUGAAAUCCUACAGCUUAACUGUAGAACUGCCUUUGAUACUGUUAUUCUUGAGUUCGGGAGAGAGAGACGGAAUUCCAGGUGUAGUGGUGAAAUACGUAGAUAUCUGGAAGAACACCAGUUGCGAAGGCGGUCUCUUGGUCCGACACUGACGCUGAGGCGCGAAAGCGUGGGG
rnacentral:rRNA from 1 species